CUUAAAUUGAAGAGUUUGAUCAUGGCUCAGAUUGAACGCUGGCGGCAGGCCUAACACAUGCAAGUCGGGCGGUAGCACAGGGGAGCUUGCUCCCUGGGUGACGAGCGGCGGACGGGUGAGUAAAGUCUGGGAAACUGCCUGAUGGAGGGGGAUAACUACUGGAAACGGUAGCUAAUACCGCA
rnacentral:rRNA from 1 species